rnacentral:rRNA from 1 species
UACGAAGGGGGCUAGCGUUGCUCGGAAUUAUUGGGCGUAAAGGGGAGGUAGGUGGUCUCGUUUGUCCGGGGUGAAAUCCCUGAGCUUAACUCAGGACGUGCCUCGGAAACGGCGAGACUGGAGUACUGGAGAGGCUAGCGGAAUACCCGGUGUAGCGGUGAAAUGCGUAGAGAUCGGGUGGAACACCAGAGGCGAAGGCGGCUAGCUGGACAGUUACUGACACUCAACUCCGAAAGCGUGGGGAGCAAACAGG